rnacentral:tRNA from 1 species
GUCUCAGUAGCUCAGUUGGAUAGAGCACAUGCCUCCUAAGCAUGUGUUUUAUCACAGAGAAUUUUCUCUUGUCGCGGACC